CAAUAUUUGUUAAAAAAAUUAAAUAAAAACAUUGUUAAAGACAAGACAAGACAUUUACGAUAUCGUGUUUCAUUAAAUUUAAACUAACAAAAAAAAAAAAAAAGUGAACUUAAAGAUUUUUUUUGCUUCCAAUUUCCAAUUUAGAAAAUUAUUAAUAAAAUAAACGAUUAAUAAAUAAUCAAAACAUAAUUUUUUAAACAUAAUUAAUGAUUAAUAAAUAAUCAAAACAUAAUUUUUUAAACUAAAUCAGUUUGAAUAGCUAACAAAAUAAAAAAUAGAUUAAACUCUAUAAUAUAACAUGAAUUUAGUGGAAAAAUUAGUGAAAAAUAACAGUUUAAUUUAAAAUAAAUAUGAUAAAACUCAGUACAUAAAAUUGAAGAAUGAAUAGAAAAAUUAAUAAGAAUAAAAAGAGAGAAGUCAAUUAUAUUGUUUUCCAAAUUACAUUAACAUAUGACCGACCACCAUUCACUUGCAUCAAUCACAUGAUACAUCUAUUUAGUGAUAAGAAUUCUCUUCGCUGGUAACGCCCAAGGUCAAUAUAUCAAAAAUAUACAAAAGUAUUUCCAAAAAGGAACACCGACUUGAGGCUUUUUCAUAUCUAAUCAGCUGUGGAAGGUGUUUUUAUUUCAAUGCCAUGUACUUUAUGGCGCAACCAUGUUAUGCAAAAAAGAUAGUUUUGAAAAUAUAUACUUGGACAAACUUCAAUGGAGACAAAGCAACAUAUGAUCAAUGUUGGCGUAAGUCAUACAAUUCUUAUGUUACGUAACAACACUCACGACAAUAAUGUGAAACCCCCAACAACAUAUAAUUUGUGUAUUUCAUAAAACCCAUUUUCUUAAGUUCUGAUUUAAAUUGCACAACUAUUAGCCCAUCCGUUUUCGUUUACAAAUAAAACAAUUUUCUCAUGCUUUAUUCCAAAAAAAAAGAAAAAUUCACAGACAACAUUAGAACAAAAAUAUAGUUACCUAACAUAUAAAUUAUCGACCCAAAUGAUAGCUAAAUUUUACACCCGAUCAAUAUCAUUUUUUCAUUUUCCUGGAAACAUUUCACCACUUUAUAAAAAAGCCAAAAACCAUCAGAUAAGUAAUAAAACUAAACAAAAAACCUGACCGACAUUUUAGAACAACAAAUGCCCUAUGUUACAUGGAAACGGAAGCGGGUACGUGAAAGCGGAAGCGCAAAGAAACGCAGAAGCGAGAUUUUUUAAAAU
rnacentral:lncRNA from 1 species